AUACGAAGGGGGCUAGCGUUGUUCGGAAUUACUGGGCGUAAAGCGCGCGUAGGCGGAUUGGUCAGUUAGGGGUGAAAUCCCAGGGCUUAACCCUGGAACUGCCUCUAGUACUGCCAGUCUUGAGUUCGGGAGAGGUGAGUGGAAUUCCUAGUGUAGAGGUGAAAUUCGUAGAUAUUAGGAAGAACACCAGUGGCGAAGGCGGCUCACUGGCCCGAUACUGACGCUGAGGCGCGAAAGCGUGGGGAGCAAACAGGAUUAGAUACCCGAGUAGUCC
rnacentral:rRNA from 1 species